rnacentral:rRNA from 1 species
CAGCGCCGCGGUAAUACGAAGGGUGCAAGCGUUAAUCGGAAUUACUGGGCGUAAAGCGUGCGUAGGCGGUUUGUUAAGUCUGUUGUGAAAUCCCCGGGCUCAACCUGGGAAUGGCAAUGGAUACUGGCAAGCUAGAGUGUGUCAGAGGAUGGUGGAAUUCCCGGUGUAGCGGUGAAAUGCGUAGAGAUCGGGAGGAACAUCAGUGGCGAAGGCGGCCAUCUGGGACAACACUGACGCUGAGGCACGAAAGCGUGGGGAGCAAACAGGAUUAGAUACCCCAGUAGUCCCUGUCUCUUAUACA